rnacentral:rRNA from 1 species
AGAGCGAACGCUGGCGGCAGGCCUAACACAUGCAAGUCGAGCGCCCCGCAAGGGGAGCGGCAGACGGGAGAGUAACACGUGGGAACGUACCCUUUGGUUCGGAACAACACAGGGAAACUUGUGCUAAUACCGGAUAAGCCCUUACGGGGAAAGAUUUAUCGCCAAAGGAUCGGCCCGCGUCUGAUUAGCUUGUUGGUGAGGUAACGGCUCACCAAGGCUACGAUCAGUAGCUGGUCUGAGAGGAUGAUCAGCCUCACUGGGACUGAGACACGGCCCAGACUCCUACGGGAGGCAGCAGUGGGGAAUAUUGGACAAUGGGCGCAAGCCUGAUCCAGCCAUGCCGCGUGGAUGAUGAAGGCCCUAGGGUUGUAAAGUCCUUUCGACUGGGAAGAUAAUGACGGUACCCGUAGAAGAAGCCCCGGCUAACUUCGUGCCAGCAGCCGC